CUCAGAAGCAUUUAUUGGAGCAUAAAAACACUUUAGAGACAACAGAACACAGCCAUUAUUCAGUGAUAUUCAGUGUAACAUCAACAGAACAGCACAUAGAUUUUGUUUGCUGACCCCAGAGCCAAGCUCAGCUCCUGGCUGCAGGGCCACGUGGGUGAUGUGAAGCUGCCCAGAGCCCAUGCAGGCUUUGCACCAGGGAAUGAACUCUGAUUCGGACUCAACUCAGAUUCUUAUCACAUUUCCUGUAGCUUGCAAUGAAAUUUGAGAGAAGCAAGGCCUACCAGAGCAGGGUCGUGCACAGUGAAGUCUGUUUAAACAAUGUUAGGUUCAGCAUAAUGAUUUUGUGUGAUAGCAACGGAAAACAAAGCAGUCUCUAACAAAAACAAGCCAUGACUUCAACAGACUGAGAUUUUGUUCUGUUUGCUGCAAACCUAGGUAUGAGAAGGUGAACGUAACCAAAGGGAAACCUGGACCUUGGAUAGGGAAAUAUAUUCCCUAUUCUCUCAGUAAGUCAGCAUGUAGGGCUUAGGAAAGGUCUCAGAGCUGGACACAGGGCACAGCUACCACUCCACACCAUCUCACGGGGCUCUGCUCCUCACUGUGGGGUUGACCGAGCCUUGAGCCCAGCCCUGGUGGAAUGGGAUGAGCCCCACAUGAUGGCUGUGACACCACCAGAGGGCAAAUCAACUGCUAUCUCCACAGCAGCCGACUCCUCGGGGCAGUGCCCUGAGGCAGCUGCCUUAACUGCCCUCCCUGAGGCAACUUCCCGCCCUGAGGUAACUGGCUGGGCGCCAUGUUGUGCCACUGCGCCGUCAUGGCCACCUGUUUCCCUGCAACUAGACACACCAACGGCUGUCCCCAGAUCUCUCAUUCUUGUCUGUGGGAGCACUGUCAUCUCCUAUCCCUUCUCACACAACACACGGCUCUUCACCUUCACAGCGGGCUGUUACCACUAGGAGGGAAGACAGGUAACCAUCUUCAUCCCUGAGGCAAAUUAAGCACAAGUCAGACCACCUGGGCUCCACAGAACAGGUGCAGUGCUGGCCCCACAGGAGAUCCACCCCCUGCCUCGUGCAGAGCUCAGGGCUCGCUGCAAGAAAGGCUACGUGCUGCAGCCAACGUUAGGAAAUCAGAGCACCUGUUCUUUUCUGCCCCUUAAAACAGGAUGCUCUCCAUACGUAUGGCAGCAUGUGAUCUCAUUUAGGGGAUCUUUCCUCCAAGGAUGGGUUGUUCUCGUGGUCCUCAUGCAGCUGGGCUCCCUGCUUGGCAGGAUCAUCCCACAACAGCACUGGGAGCUCUGCAUCUGCCCAAAUAUGCUCGCCUAUGUUUACGUGGAGGAUGACUGGAAAUAAAUGUUAUUCUGGUUCCUGUUAGUUACUGUUUCAAAAUAUUAGAUUUUUUUUUUUAACUGUGGAAAUAAAUACCCAAAAUAUUUGAGUGUUUAUAGAUACAUGUACCCACACAUAUAAACAAGCAUAUGCACGCUGUACUCUGAGCACCAGCUACGUGCUGCAAAGUAUACCAAAAAAUAAUGUGCUUCUUAUGAACCUAAUAGAUAUUUCUGUUUUGUUUUAAAUUCCUCCAAAGACUAAAAAAAAAAAUUACCCAAUUUCAUACAGGCUGCAGCAUGGCAGAACAUUCCUUUGUACCCUGAGGUCAAAGCUCAUUAAUCAACAGCUGUUAUUUCCCUCUGCAGGAGCAGAUAAACCACAAGUGUUAGGGUACAAAUCAGAAAACAACGUCAGUACCAGGUUGCCAGUUUGGAAUAGUUAAAACAUUCCAAAAUGUGUUGCACUGUUAAAUGGGAAAUAAGGGACACCACAGAUGCUUCUAAUAAUUCCAGUUUCAAGUCAGUUUUCCCUCCUUUGUCUUAAAGAGCUUUUGAUGUGUAGUCACAAUAUUGUCUCUCUCUCUGUUUUUAAUAAUUUUAUAUUACCUCAGCAAUAUAACUGUCCUGAAAUAUACUGAACUUUAAUCUCUGAGAGAUCAAACAGGAAGAAAUACGACGGGAUAGAGAGUGACUGAGUUGGGGGCAAUAUUCUCUCCCCCUAUAAAAGCAAGCCCACAGCUAGAUAAAAAUUGCUUCUCAGAUUCCACAAACGUCACAUCUUUAAGAGAGGAUUUCAGGCCCACAGAGAGAGCAGACUUGGGGCCACAAAAAAAAAAAACAACAAAACACAGAGCCAUUGAAGAUGCAGCCAAAAGCAAGCAUGCUCUCCCAGAACUUGAGGAUGUGGUUUGUGUGACUACAUGGUGUAAGAUUGGUCCCAGCACCCUCACAGCUCCUCCAUUUAGCACUGCAACAUCCGAGAACCAUUUGGCUACUACCCUUUCACUGGAAUAAACGCACAGGCUCUGUCUCAAGCAAAACAAAAAAAAAUCUGGGACAAAGGUAUGAGUUUACAUACCAUGAAGACAUUGUGAUGUCUGGGGGGGGAAUUUAUCAGUGCAGUAUCAGUGCACAGAUCAGAUGGGGCACAAAGGAGGUGCUCCAAGGAGUCACUUCAGAACACAGCCAGUUCCCCUCCAAAAGGCUUUUGUUCUCCACGAGCUGAGCUUCCCACAGACAGAAGCCCAGCUUCCCUGAUUUUCCACUGAGGUUCUCCAGAGGAACCAGAGGUGGUGAAAUGCAGCUCUGCAUGUCUGCUCACUCUAUUCCCUGACCACAGAAUGAUGAAUUCAUAUUCUAAAGAAAUACUGGUUAAAAUAUUGUGACAUACAGUGAAGAUGGUGGUUUUUUUUUUUCCUGGCAAAUAAUAACAGUGCUGCAAUAAACAGUGAACUAACAAGAAGACUCUUUUUGGUUUAUUGUAGCACCUUGGAACUAAAGCCAAUUUAAUCUCUUUUGAAUAAAUAUGUUAAUGUCUCUUUUGGCUGGCUUGGGAACCUGCUUUAUAACAAUCUGAACACAUGCAUCAAAACUGUUUAUGAGCUUUCCCAAAUGUACAGCUUGAAGCUUCAGGCUUUUAUCAAGUUCAUUAAAAUCCCUCAAGACUCCAGAAGGUAAAAAACACUGAUUCAGACACCACUAAAAUCAGUGCAAACACUCCUAUGGAUCGUUCCACAAGGAACAUUGAGAAGCUUGUUUUCUGCAAGUGAUAUUACCACCACACGUAGGUGGCUCUUGCUCACCACCUGCAGCUCUAUCACAUUCAUUAAUUUCUAAUUAAUACAUAUAAUUUGCAAGGGGUUGUUCUACCCUCUUUUUGCAUGCGGAUCAUGAAGUCCCAGCUACCUUAGUGCUAUGCACAGAGUGCAAGGGCAUACUGAAAUGAGAUCCUGCCAACGAGCCAAAUCCCUUCUGAUAAAUACACUAACUGGAGCCAAUAGAUAUGGAAGGUACUCGUUUCAUAGAAAUGGUCCAUAGGGAACAGCAUGUGUUUGUACUUGAGAUAGUUUUUGCAUUGCCUGCCAUACUGUCAGGAGUGUUUUGAGUUAGGUGGACAUUUUAAAGUUCUUCUGGUGAAUGUAGGUUACAGAACAAUAUUGGAACAAGCAAACGUAAUAGAGUAUUUCCAAGCCUGAAACUUUCUUGGAUAUCCUUAUUCAUGCAAAGCAAAUAGUAGAUUCCUUUUUGACAAUUUCUCAUGCUCUGGAUAAACAUGGACUGGUAUUUCUGAGUUUCCCAGCUCAAAUUUCCACACAAGUACUUCUCUGCCUUACCUUCUGCUUUCAAUCCAGAUGAUGCAGAAACCCACUAUAAUAGCUCCUUUGUGGGAACAAAGGAUACAAAUCUUCAUUUCAACCUCUGCAUUUUGGUCUUUAAAUCAGAAAAUAUUUAUUCUCUUUUAAUGAAAUAUAAGCUAAGCCGGAGAGGAUGAGAUUCUCCAGAUUGAAGGCUUACUGAUCAGUGUUUAUUCAGAGUUUUACUUCCAAACCUCUAGAGCUUCUCAAUCCAUUAUUACAUUUCCAAGUCUUGGCUGCCCUAUCGCUUUGAAGGAAGAAGGUAAGAUGAUUCUAGCAUUUAGCAACAGCAAUCUGGAAAAUUCCCUCUUCCUUCUUUUGCCAUUAAAAUAGCUUUCAUCUGCAGGUCUGCAUUCCCACCUGAGGAGUAAUUUCUUAAUAUCUGGCAGGAUCUCUUCUUCACAUUAUCUAAUCGGUUUCUAGAAGAUGGGUUUUUUUUUCUCCCUCUAAUCUCUCUGUGAUGAAUUCCUGCCUCUCUGCUCUAGCAUUUGUUCCCCUAGCAGCAUUUGUGAGCCAAGACUGUGAUUUCAGCCUCACAGUUCACAAACUUCAACCGCCGAGAGAGAGAGGAGGGCAGGAAGAGGUCUUCAUAAGAGGUUUCAGGUGUAUUGUGCAGUGCUGGCUUCCAGCUCCUAACUGUGAGCCUAAAAAUAUUUUAACCUUAAGGAUACAGCUUGCUUUGAAACAAAGCGGAACAAAGCUAAACUGAACUGUGAGUGAGCUUUUCUGGUUGAACGUAAAACCACAAGGUGUGUCAGGGACUAUUCCCACUGCUGCUCCACUAAGCAUUAGGUUACUGCUUUCCUACUCAGGUGAUUAAAGUUAAGUAUGCAAAUUCACAGCUGUGCCCACCUAGAUAAGAGGCAGUCCUGUGGGAGCUAAGCAUGCACAGCACUGAUGUAAGCGUGGUUUGGCUUCAGUGUGCCUCAUUCUUGUCUUUGGAAUCAUGUCCAGUGUGUUCAAAUUUGUCCCAGUGGGUCAGAUAAGCCUUGGUGUUCCAUCCAGCAGAGACCAGCUGCUCAGGUGCCUAUGAGCUGGUUCUGCCAGCCUGUGAAGGUUCAAAGAGGGCCUCCUGGAGAUACUUUCAUUUUCUUCAUACAUUUAUUGACAGCAAAUACCUUGGUAUCACUGACUGUGAUCUGUCAAGAUCCUUUUCAGCACUGUUUUUCCACAUACAUCAUGUCAUCCAUGAUGCAGAGAUUCUUUCUUCUCCACUGACUUCAUUUUCAGCAUGUAUUUUACUGAAACUUUUGCAUAACUGCGUAACCUGAGGACCACAAACCUGUUUGGCUGCAUAUAGUUUCUUCUUUUUCUCAAACAUGAUAUGUACAAAGUGGCAGACUAACUUUUGAGUUGGAAACUUCAGUCCUUAACAGGAUAGGCUAAGAAAGCUCAUCAUAAAACACAGGCGAAAGAAAUCAUUUUUCUUUCCCAGUGAACUUUUCAUGCUUAGGAUGCAAAAUAACUGUUUGCACUGAUACAUCCUCUUGAAAGUAUGCAGUAGGAACAUAGAAAAAAUGGUUCAAGAAUGACAAUACAGAUACUGUCUACUGAACAAGACACCGACUGAGUGCUACAGAGCUGUGGAUAUGAGUGAGAAGGAGCAAUUCUCCAGCCACUGCUCACUUAAGAGCUAAUAGGUUUGAGAAAAAAACACCUCAUCAGUUCCUGUAAAGCACCUCUGUUCAAAAGUAAGUUUUUAGCAUUUGGGAGCCUGGUAACCUGACACAGACACAGAAGUUAAUAAGAUGUAAUUAUUGUCUGAAUCUUCAGUCAAAAUUAAAUUUUACCUAACACGUAACAUGUUUUCAUUACUGAUACAGAUCUAAAUUUGAACCACAUGGAAGCUGACAUCUCAGAUUCAUGAAGUAUUCAGAAGUCAGAAAAAGUCCUUGCUGUAUAAUUACUGAUCCUAAGCUGCAAGUACAGCUUUGUGCCUGUGCAACAGAGGAAGCCUGACAGCUCCGGAUCCAGCCGCAAUGCAGUGCACCAGGCGAGCUCACACCAUGCAGCAGGACAUAAAGCUUAGGUACGGGGCUGUAAGGGUGCUUGGUAAUGGGCUACACUGCCCCUGUAAGAUCACAGCAUUGGCAGCAUCCUUCUCACAGUGCAUCUAUGCUAUCCCUCUUCUUCUGUCAGCUCUGCGUGGUCAAGCAUUCAUCUUAGCUUAAGCAAUGACUGCAGAUAUUAUUGGCAGAACUCCGUGCCUGGCUCAAGUGAGCCUUUGGGCAGACUGCCAUCCAAGCACAUUUCAUCUCACUGUAAAUACAACACUUUUCAUACAUCUUUUACCAAAAUUGAGGAUAUACUGAUAUGAUUAUGUUAAUACAACAUUUUAAUAAACAGCAGCAUAAAAUAAUCAGUGUUUAAUAUCAUCUCUGGCAUGUGAAAUACAAAAAUGCACAUAUCUUAGUUAUAAAAUAGCCUUUGUUAUUACAUUUUCAUGCUUGCCUAAUUGAAAUGCCCAUAAUUAAUAAAUCAAUCGUCAAGUAAUACAGUGAUUAAACGCAUGCAGUGAAAACAAAGAAAAAUAUUUGUAUAAGGUAGUGGCUGAAUAUCACCAUAAUAUAUUUCAAGAACAUCUACAUCAGGGUAAAAAUAAAAAGAAACAGACCAAGAUAUAAAAUGCAGAGAUGUAUUUUCACUUCUGCUGUACAAAACAUCAUCACACUUUUGUGCAAAAAGAUAAAAAUAAAGUCAUAUUAUACAACAUUGUCAAUUGAGCAAAGAUUGUUUCCAUUGUGUACAAGAAAAAAUACGAUUCAGUACAAAAGAGAGACUGCGAAAAGUCGUUAAUGUACAGCACUUCUGUAACUCAUUAAAGUGGUUUCAAAUGAAUAUUGUAGAUUGCUCAUACCUGAAUACAUUUUAGUAAUUAUGCACGUCAUGUUUCUAGGAUGAAAAUUAACAUUAAUUCACAUUAUUAAAAUUGACAGUAAAUUGCUAUCAACGGAUCUGCUGCCUGAUGGAAUGCGAGUUUCCCUUCUUUCAGGGUUACUGGAGUCAGAGUCACUGAAAUUACAUAUUGAUCUGAAACAAUAAAUAUUACUGGGAAAAACUGUCAUAUAUAAAAGUGUGGUUUGGAGCCUUUCCAUUAAACAGUUGCAUAGCAACAAAAGGAUAUACAAUUUCCACUUUAUCUACCUAUAAAAAUUAUGAAAUGUUAUCUUUGAAGAAGUUGAUUCAGGUUCUGAAAUUAAAAUACUUUAAUUUCAUUUCCUUUAAGGCAAUUUCUUACAACUCCAGCCAUCUUCAGCAGCCAAUAGCAGAUGGUUUUCUCAAGCUGAUUAACUCAUGCUAUUGUGGUGUUGUAUAAAACACCCUUUUUGGCCUGAAUCUGGACUCAGACUCCCAACGUAACACAAGACCAAAAUCCUACCUGAAGGAAUUUAUCCAGCUCUCAGGUCACAUACUUGAAACAUAAUCCUCGACUGCAAAUAUUUUAACUAGCUAUUGGAACUGAAAUUGCACACCCAGUAGAUCGCCGAAUAUUUGCAUCUCCUAAAAAAA